UACGUAGGGUGCGAGCGUUUAAUCGGAAUUACUGGGCGUAAAGCGUGCGCAGGCGGUUUUGUAAGCCAGAUGUGAAAUCCCCGGGCUUAACCUGGGAAUGGCAUUUGGGACUGCAAGGCUCGAGUGCGGCAGAGGAGACUGGAAUUCCUGGUGUAGCAGUGAAAUGCGUAGAUAAUCAGGAGGAACACCGAUGGCGAAGGCAGGUCUCUGGGCUGACACUGACGCUCAUGCACGAAAAGCGU
rnacentral:rRNA from 1 species